rnacentral:rRNA from 1 species
UACGAAGGGGGGCUAGCGUUGUUCGGAAUUACUGGGCGUAAAGCGCACGUAGGCGGAUUGUUAAGUCAGGGGUGAAAUCCCGGGGGCUCAACCCCGGAACUGCCUUUGAUACUGGCAUUCUCGAGUCCGGAAGAGGUGAGUGGAAUUCCGAGUGUAGAGGUGAAAUUCGUAGAUAUUCGGAGGAACACCAGUGGCGAAGGCGACUCGCUGGACUGAUACUGACGCUGAGGUACGAAAGCGUGGGGAGCAAACAGG